rnacentral:rRNA from 1 species
CGCGGCCUAUCAGCUUGUUGGUGGGGUAAUGACCUACCAAGGCGACGACGGGUAGCCGGCCUGAGAGGGUGACCGACCGCACUGGGGCUGAGACACGGCCCAGACUCCUACGGGAGGCAGCAGUGGGGAAUAUUGCACAAUGGGCGCAAGCCUGAUGCAGCGACGCCGCGUGAGGGAUGACGGCCUUCGGGUUGUAAACCUCUUUCAGUAGGGAAGAAGCGAAAGUGACGGUACCUGCAGAAGAAGCGCCGGCUAACUACGUGCCAGCAGCCGCGGUAAUACGUAGGGCGCAAGCGUUAUCCGGAAUUAUUGGGCGUAAAGAGCUCGUAGGCGGUUCGGUAAGUCGGGUGUGAAAACUGGGGGCUCAACCCAGAGCCGCCACCCGAUACUGCUGUGACUCGAGUGCGGUAGGGGAGCGGGGAAUUCCUGGUGUAGCGGUGAAAUGCGCAGAUAUCAGGAGGAACACCAGUGGGGAAGGCGCCGCUCUGGGCCGUGACUGACGCUGAGGAGCGAAAGGGUGGGGAGCAAACAGGCUUAGAUACCCUGGUAGUCCACCCCGUAAACGUUGGGAACUAGUUGUGGGGUCCAUUCCACGGACUCCGUGACGCAGCUAACGCAUUAAGUUCCCCGCCUGGGGAGUACGG